UUGGAGCCAAAACUGUUUUACAGUUUUGGAUAGUUAGUUAGCCACGUGUCAAGUGUUAGUUGGGGAAUCUGUUACAAUUACUGUUGUAUCCUUGACAGUGGCUUUAUUACCAAUUUGGGGAGCCAUUGUACGUAUUGUUGAGAAAUAUACAAAAACAUUCUUUGGGUUCUCUCUGUUCUUGGUUAUUGUCUAAGGUUGAAAGAUAGAGUCCUAUCAGGAUCCGUG
rnacentral:lncRNA from 1 species